UACGGGGGGGACAAGCGUUGUUCGGAUUUACUGGGCGUAAAGGGCGCGUAGGCGGACCUUCAAGUCGGAUGUGAAAACUAUUGGCUCAACUGAUAGCCUGCAUACAAUACUGUUGGUCUUGAGUAUAUCAGAGGAAAGCGGAAUUCCAGGUGUAGCGGUGAAAUGCGUAGAUAUCUGGAAGAACACCAGUUGCGAAGGCGGCUUUCUGGGGUAAUACUGACGCUAAAGCGCGAAGGCUAGGGGAGCAAACAGG
rnacentral:misc_RNA from 1 species